CAUCAAAUCGACAUUUCGAUCCUCAAGGGGUCUUUCUCUUGAGAAAACUUGGCAACCUGAGAAAGACCCCUUGAGGGUCGAAACGUUCAUUUG